rnacentral:sRNA from 1 species
AUUCCAUUCCCCAAUCUCGAUUCCCGAUCCCGCCCCCCGUUUAAUUGUUUUGUGCCGCUCAAUUUCAAUUUGAAGCAGUUUGAAUCAAUUUAUGCAAAUAAAAUUGUAUAAAAAUGGAAAGGCCAUUCUUUUCUCGUUUCUUCUCUAGAUUUCAGUUUCUUGUCUGGUGUCAAUCUGCUGCUCUAAUGAUUCUUUAUUUAUAGACCAAGCAAUAUGGGUUCUUUCGUCAACGACACAUUUCCGUUAAUUGUUUCAGGUUUUUGUCGUGGGCCCCCGAGUAUAGAAUAGAUCUAUUAUUAAUCCGUCAAAUCCCGGUCACAUGUGCAAGAUUUCGCACACAAACAGUCCAUCGAUUUUUGUGAGUAGGAGUGUCGUCUGUACUUUGCCCUGGCCCCAAAAUCGACUUCUCUUCGAAGUGGUCUGGCCUUGUCAUCAAAUUGCUGUCAAGAAUUCCAGUAUAGAACAGAAUAAAACAGAACCGAACCGAACCGAAGAAGAACCAGCGGCUCAGGGGUUUAAUUACGACGCUGAAGUCGGUGUCGGUGUCGGUGUCUAGUCGGGUCUGAUAAAUGAUAUAUGUUACAUAUGUAUUUAUGUGCAUAUAUUUGUGGCUUGCUCUUGUGUGUGUUGCCAUAUUUCGUUUCCCCUUUCUACAGACGCUUCGUAUACAGUUUUUAGCCAGUUGUUUUGGUCAUGUUACGUUCCAUUCUCGCAUACUUCGCCACACUUCAGCAUAUUUCGCCACAAGGUUGAAUGAACUGCCCUGACCUCUCUCUCUCUCUCUUCCAGGGGUCGCCUGCACUCAGAUAUGUAAGUCUGUCUGGGAAGCUGCAUUCCCUGAAACAUCAAUUUACAUUGACUUGCAAUAAAAUGUGACAUUGAAGACGAUUCACAUUUUAUAUUACUGACUCAUAAAUAUUAUUUAUUAUCUAACAUCGUUAUCAAAUCACGCACGAAAAUUGCCAAAAAAAUACCGAUUGCAUCACUUCGCUACGGUGCGUGUCUACUUUUACUAUUCGUAUUCAUUGUAAAUAAAAAUGAAGGAAUGAAAGCUAGAAUGAUUUCCUUUUCGAUCUUUCUUUGGUUGUUAUUGUCUCUACUUAGUUUUCCCCUGAUAAACUAAAUACAAUGUAUUGUUUCUCGUUUAAAUAAAGCUCUCAUUAACAUCAUUAAGAUAUCUACGUUUCUUCUCACUAUUUGUCUCUCUCUCUCUCUUUCUCUCUUUGUGGAUCUAUUCUAGAACUGUACUGCCGGAGAUCACUCAAAAAAUUAACACCUAUCUCGUUGAGACGUGACAGAUCACUAGAAUUCGGUUUUUAAACCUUGAAAUCGACAUUUUAGCAAUGUGAAAUAUGUACAUACAUAUGUACAUAUGUCGAAAAACAAGGGUAAUAUUAUUAGGGAUUAAGAUUUCGUCCGAAUGAGAGAAGAAUUGUGCAAGAACGAAGGCAAUGUAUUUUUGUAGCGUGAGAAUGUUUGAGAAAAUGCCGACAGGCAUAAAAAAAAAUCGCAGAUGCAUGCCAGAAACAUGUAGCAUAAAUAGAAGGCAUAAAUAGUCUGCUCUCUCUCGCUGUGGUAAUAGUCCUCUCUGGGAAAACCACCCGGUCGAGCCCCUCGCAGACGAUACAGAUACCGUUACUGGGAAAUCGGCUGGAAUCAACAGAGAACAGUCGGCGGCAUAGUGCAAAGCAUAUCCAAUAUUUCAUCAGCAAAAAUGUGAUCCCCCUCUUUUCUACGAUUAUAUUCGGAAUGCAUUAGGCAAUCAUAAGCAGUGACAUAUCACAGAAGUCUGGAUCCAAAACAUCGU